rnacentral:rRNA from 1 species
UAGGGAAUCUUCCACAAUGGGCGCAAGCCUGAUGGAGCAACACCGCGUGAGUGAAGAAGGGUUUCGGCUCGUAAAGCUCUGUUGUUAAAGAAGAACACGUAUGAGAGUAACUGUUCAUACGUUGACGGUAUUUAACCAGAAAGUCACGGCUAACUACGUGCCAGCAGCCGCGGUAAUACGUAGGUGGCAAGCGUUAUCCGGAUUUAUUGGGCGUAAAGAGAGUGCAGGCGGUUUUCUAAGUCUGAUGUGAAAGCCUANCNUNUUAACCGGAGAAGUGCAUCGGAAACUGGAUAACUUGAGUGCAGAAGAGGGUAGUGGAACUCCAUGUGUAGCGGUGGAAUGCGUAGAUAUAUGGAAGAACACCAGUGGCGAAGGCGGCUACCUGGUCUGCAACUGACGCUGAGACUCGAAAGCAUGGGUAGCGAACAGGAUUAGAUACCCUGGUAGUCCAUGCCGUAAACGAUGAGUGCUAGGUGUUGGAGGGUUUCCGCCCUUCAGUGCCGGAGCUAACGCAUUAAGCACUCCGCCUGGGGAGUACGACCGCAAGGUUG